UGGUGUGUGACUUUGAUCAACCUUCCA
rnacentral:piRNA from 1 species